rnacentral:rRNA from 1 species
CCUACGGGAGGCAGCAGUGAGGAAUAUUGGUCAAUGGGCGCGAGCCUGAACCAGCCACGUAGCGUGAAGGAUGAAUGCCCUACGGGUUGUACACUUCGUUUAUAGAGGAAUAAAGUGAGGCACGUUUUCCUUUUUGUAUGUACUUUAUAAUUAAGGAUCGCCUAACUCCAUGCCAGCAGCCGCGGUACUACGUGGGAUCCGAGCGUUAUCCGGAUUUAUUGGGUUUAAAGGGAGCGUAGAUGGGUUGUUAAGUCAGUUGUAAAAGUUUGCGGCUCAACCGUGACAUUGCAAUUGAUACUGGCAGCCUUGAGUACAGUAGAGGUAGGCGGAAUUCGUGGUGUAGCGGUGAAAUGCGUAGAUAUCACGAAGAACACCGAUGGCGAAGGCAGCCUACUAAACUGCCACUGACAUUGAUGCUCGAAAGUGUGGGUAUCAAACAGGAUUAGAUACCCUAGUAGUC